UAUUGCAGGAGAAGCCCGCCACUUGGUGUCACCGCCGUACGUAUUCUUUUUCUUUUAAAGAGUUACCGAGACGUAGUGCAUAUGCAAACAAAUUCACUUAUAUAAAGUAGGUGAUUCCGUGCUUUUACUCUAUUUAUAGGGUUGUGCGACCAUUGUUAGAGUCUAAUUUUAGAAGCUGUCUUUCCCCCUCAGAAAACCCGCUUAGUAGUGACUCCUCUGUUCUCCCCCACCCCCCAACCCCCACCCCCCUGGUCCUAGGCAGCCCUAAUCUACUUCCUGUUUCUGUAGUACACUUUCUUGCUGUAUUAACCGGUUCUUCAAAUGACAAUUUCACGUUGAUGAGGUUGUCCUGGCUAGGAAGCCAGGCUCUUUUAUUUCUUUCUGCCCCUCUCCUUUUUCUUCCUUCAGCACCCAGGAGAAUGGUCCAGCAGCAGCUGGGUCCGUGCUUGUCAAACGCCCCGCUCCAUACCCUCCAGCCCGGUCCACAUUUCCCAAAGAUCCUGGUGAGAUUCCUGAGCAGCACCAAUGCACUGUCACUCUGUGUUCUCUUAGGUCCCGUUGAGGUCCCGCAGGACCUCAUACUAGAAGACAUUGAGGAUGAUGAGCUAACCCGUGACGAGGAGAAGCCCGCCGCUUGGUGUCACUGUCGUACGUAUUCUUUUUCUUUUAAACAGUUACCGAGACGUAGUGCGUAUGCAAACAAAUUCACUUAUUUAAAGUAGGUGAUUCCGUGUUUUUACUCUAUUUAUAGGGUUGUGCAACCAUUGUUAGAGUCUAAUUUUAGAAGCUGUUUUUCCCCCUCAGAAAACCCGCUUAGUAGUGACUCCUCUGUUCUCCCCAACCCCCCACGCCCCUGGUCCUAGGCAGCCCUAAUCUACUUCCU
rnacentral:lncRNA from 13 species